rnacentral:rRNA from 1 species
GACGAACGCUGGCGGCGUGCUUAACACAUGCAAGUCGAACGGAAAGGCCCUGCUUUUGUGGGGUGCUCGAGUGGCGAACGGGUGAGUAACACGUGAGUAACCUGCCCUUGACCUUGGGAUAACUUCAGGAAACUGGGGCUAAUACCGGAUAGGAGCUCCUGCUGCAUGGUGGGGGUUGGAAAGUUUCGGCGGUUAGGGAUGGACUCGCGGCUUAUCAGCUUGUUGGUGGGGUAGUGGCUUACCAAGGCUUUGACGGGUAGCCGGCCUGAGAGGGUGACCGGCCACAUUGGGACUGAGAUACGGCCCAGACUCCUACGGGAGGCAGCAGUGGGGAAUAUUGCACAAUGGGCGGAAGCCUGAUGCAGCAACGCCGCGUGCGGGAUGACGGCCUUCGGGUUGUAAACCGCUUUCGCCUGUGACGAAGCGUGAGUGACGGUAAUGGGUAAAGAAGCACCGGCUAACUACGUG